CAAAGCUUUGUUGCUUUGUGGAGAAAUAGAAGCUUUAUGAAGCUAAUAAACUUGUGCAUUUUCUCUCUUUGGUCCCGUUCAAAGGAAACAUCACCCAUGUAUCUUUCAAGUAUAUUUGAGUGGAUAACUAGAAACUAUCAACUUAAGCUAUGUAUAAAUAUGAAGACAACCAUGUAUCAAUACCUUAAGUGAAACACGUCGUGCAAUCACCUGUCUCAAUGCUGAUAAGAUUCCAGCACAUAUUGGAACAGUCAUUGCUGCCACUACACCAAAUACCUCUUUUUAUAAUACAUAAUUAUAAGCUAAUUGGAAAAGUAUUAUAAUAGGUAUAAAGUUAAAAUGGAGGGAAACAAAAAAAAAAUUUGGCUGGGUAAAGUUAAAAUGGAGGGAAAAAAAAAGCUCAAUUAAUGUAAAAGCAUUUUUUCACCCAAUAAAAUAAAAAAUUUAGAAAAAUAAUAUUAACCCUCGUCCAUGUUUCUCUGAACCCUCACCUCUCUCUGAACCCUCCAUCAUUUCUCUCAACUUUCCCUUUCUCAAUCGAUUAUCUUCAACAAAUUUCCCUCUCUCACUCGAUUGCAGUCAUCCAUCAACAGCUCCAAGGACUUGACCAAAAGAGAGAUCUUUCUUCUUGGUGAAGAACUCUCCAACUACGUUGUGGGAAAAUAAUUGAGGGGUUGUGUUGAGAGAGACAUGAAGAGAAUGGUGGGCAUUCAGUGUUAUAAAGGGAUUAGACAUAGGGAAGGAUUGCCAAGCAGAGGACAACGAACAAGGACGAAUGCUCGAACCAAGAAAAGUCAUCUGCCUAUUCCUCUUGCAUUGAGGAAGAAAUAGUUUCUGCUGUCAUUUUCACUACCAAAUUAGUCUAGAUUUCUCAACUUUACAAAUUCUUACAAACUGUUUGGUGAUUUGAGUUGAAAGAAGAAUGAAACGAUGGCAUGGAAGACAAACUGCAACGAGUUAAAGAAGAAAACAGGAAUCUCUCUGAACUCAACCUUUCAAGCAACAUAUCACAGAAGAAUCUUGAUGCACUUUGGUGAUGGAAAGUCCACUCCUUGUCUUGAUGUGCUCCCAAGACAGGAGAAGGGUUGCUCUGAUCUCAACACCUCCACCUUCAUCCAUCGCAUGAUCCUUGCCGAGAAACCCAAUCUCAU